UACGAAGGGGGCUAGCGUUGUUCGGAAUUACUGGGCGUAAAGGGCGCGUAGGCGGCCUGCUAAGUCGAACGUGAAAUCCCCGAGCUCAACUCGGGAACUGCGUCCGAUACUGGCAGGCUUGAAUCCGGGAGAGGGAUGCGGAAUUCCAGGUGUAGCGGUGAAAUGCGUAGAUAUCUGGAGGAACACCGGUGGCGAAGGCGGCAUCCUGGACCGAGAUUGACGCUGAGGCGCGAAAGCCAGGGGAGCAAACGGG
rnacentral:rRNA from 1 species